rnacentral:lncRNA from 1 species
CAAUUUAUAUACAUUAUAGUAUAGAUUGAUUAAAUUGAGUUUGUAUAUUUGUAUUGAACUCUCAGUCUAUCUACAUUCUGAAUCCUGCCACAUGGGGGUUGUACGUUGGCAAUUAAUAUGGAUUGUUCCGAAAUUUGGCAUUAUGGACCUACUCCACAGAAGUUAAAUACGGUACUCUGGACCUACUCUGCAGGCAGUAUACUAGAUCCUGUCACAGGGAUUAUAUGUGGCCAUGGUUGUAUAGACUAAUGAGUUAUUAUAAUGCUUUUGAAAAAUACGAUCAUAUGAUACUAUCGAAAACUUGGACGUAAUCCUCUGAUUUUAUGUGGAUUGUGAAAUACCUUAGUUUAAAUAUGAGAUUUCUUUGAUUUACAUAGUUAUAUCUAAUAUUGUAGAGCCAUAAGCUAACUCUAUUUAUAAAUAUCAUAUUGUUGCCUCAGUUUUUAAAUCAAGCACAUAUUUAGCUUCAGCAAUUUGAUUUUUUUGAUUAUGUCUUAGUUACUUACUGGGCUGUUAGCUCAUUAUUAUAAUUUCUAUAUUUUUUACAAAAUCCAAAGCAUGAUGAGGAUGGGUAGAGGUUGAAAUGUGAGAAUAGAGCAAGGAUUUAAUUAACCAUUUCAGACCAACCUUCCAAAUUUUGAAGAACCCUCACUAUACUAUCUUUUAUAUAAAUAUGUACAUUAUGUAACUAAGGUUAUCUGUGGAUGGCAGCUAUGAAUAUUUUGUUUUAGAAAUUGAGCUAAAAGAUCUUGAUUUAUAAAUAUUACUUGUUAGUUUGUUAUGUUAAUGACAUGUUGUAUGCCUUGCAUGCCUAUAAGGAUAGUUCUUUAUAAGUAUGUGGUGACUGUUCAC